UCGUUUCUCUAAUUUAGUAACGUGUCUUUCCAUCGGAAACUUCUUGCUAUACGAAGCAGACAAAUGACACAAUGUGUUAUCUAAGCAGACAAAUGACACAAUGUGUUGACUAAGCAGACAAAUGACACAAUGUGUUGUUUAAGCAGACAAAUGACACAAUGUGUUAUCUAAGCAGACAAAUGACACAAUGUGUUAUCUAAGCAGACAAAUGACACAAUGUGUUAUCUAAGCAAACAAAUGACACAAUGUGUUAAAUAAGCCAACAAAUGACACAAUGUGUUGUUUAAGCAGACAAAUGACACAAUGUGUUAUUUAAGCAGACAAAUGACACAAUGUGUUAUUUAAGCAGACAAAUAUGAGUAUUAGGUUGACAUCACUUAUUUAAAACAAAUAGAACCAAAAAUUUUGAUUAAUCCAUGUGCAUACACUAAUGUGUGAAAA